CACAUGUCUGAGCACACAUAAGGGACUCUGUGAAUAUGUGUGUAUUUGUUGUGUGCAUGCCCGCAGAAUGGGAUACAGAGACUCACUCUAUUCAUCAGGGAUUUGUUUUAAUCAGGAAUUGGCAGGCAUGGGAAGAGCACGCUGUCCAGGGUCGGCAAGGCCUGGAAAUGUCAGAGCAUCAGAAUACUGAAAAUAAAAGACAUGGUUAAAUCUAUUUUGGUGGCGAGGCUGGGGACACUGGGAAUAUGAUACUGAUCAAUCUAGAAUGUGUGGAGGAGUGGACAGCAGUUUUUAAUCAGACAAGACCUUCAACCCCGGCACAGACCAUCAAUUGGCAGGUGUUAAAACAGACCAAAAUGUGUUCUCCCGCCCAGAAGCAAGCAAAGCCAACCCCAGCUGCAGUUCCCUGACAGUCCAGUGAAUUCAGCCAAAGGAAAUGGCCCCACAUGGAGGGCAAGUGACAGAAGACCUGAUGACUCCGGUGGCUCAGCGGAGAGUGCAUUAAUAGGCUUGACCACUUCUGCUCGAUCUUCAGGCAAGCUGGGUCUGACCCCUGGACACUGUCCCCUGGAGCCCCUGGCCUCCACGUGUCCACCCACUGCCAUGGUCAUGGCUCCUCAGCAGGAGGAGGCCCAGCAGCCUCCAGGUGCCCCUGCCUGGUGCUAGCUGCCCACCGAAGCUCUAGCCUCACACUCUCAGGUUCAAAUCCAGCGACAAGAGCGGAUCCCACAAAGGCCACGAGAGUCACCCUAAACGGUCAGCUUAGGUCCUUCGUUCACUGAGCCCAUCGCUGUCCAGGGCAAGUGGUGCUGGCUGGGCUAGGUCCAGCUCCCGUGUCCACCCUGGGACCUGAGGUUCAGGGUCAGCUCACCCUAGACACAUGGAUCGAGUGGGGAGGGUGAAUCCUCAAAUGCUAAUCAGGUUCUGUUGUACAGAAGGGGAAGCGGAGGCAGGAGGAUGCAGCAAGACCUGUUCCCUCCUCUAACGGCACUCAUAGGACAGCCCAGCCACACAUUCAAAGAAUCUUGAAGGAAUAGGAUGGUUGGUAUGGUUGGUGUGGAAGAAGGUUCAUAAAUUCUGGAUUUAGCUUUGUGGGAUUCAGCUGACCUGAAAUUUAUACCUGUGCAGGUAGGUGGUUGCUGGGUAGGGUGACCACUACUGUCUCUCUCCAUCACCCAGGGCUGUUUUCAGCUCAAAGCCACAGAAGCCCAGGCAUGGUGGCAUCUCCGGGGGAAGUUGCCUUAUUCCAGAUUCACAGGUCCGGGGCGAAGGGGCCAGGCAGGGCAGGUGUGGGGCGGCAGGAUAUCGCCCUGGGCCUGGCUCCUUCUGCCUUUCUGCCACCAUCUUCAGCGGUGCCAUUACCUCGAGGCCUUCUGUGGUUGCUGGAGCUGCCACGCUCGGCCUCCUGUCUGCCUCCAGAUGGGAGAGGAGGAAGGAGGAGGUGAGAGCAGGAAAGAGCUUACAUAAAAGACCACAUUUUCCCAGAAUCCCCAGCAGCUGCCUGUUCUCCCCCUCCACUGGGCUAGAGCUGUGUCACACAGGCUGAGCGGCCAGGAAGCUGGGCACCAUCCAGGGAGUGUGUGAUCGUCGGGGUCCUGUUGAUUCCUGCUUUUGAGUAAUGAAGGUGACCAAACCACAUGACCCUGUCUGCAAAGAUUCCACCUGGACUCCCAGUUCCUCCAAGGAACCGUCAUGUGGUUCAAAUCCAAUGAAAUUCUCUAAAUCUCCACCCUCCUCAGGGUGCAGAGUUGGCUGCUUCUCUGUGCCCCCUGCUGAUCACGGCAACCCCUGGGUGCCUCGGCCUGCGAAGCCCCAGCUGUCCUCCGUCUGCAGACAAGCCGAGGUAUGAAAGCCUCCUCGCUGGCCCAGGAGCCUGUCAUUGUCCUCCAGCAGCUCUAGCCUGGAUGCGGUCCCAGAGAUAAAUCAUAUCUCUUUAAAAAGCCACAGUGGCCCAUUAUUUCUGCUUGAAAAUACCCCUGGCUCUCUGCUGGUGAGCUGGUUGACAGGCCCCGGCUGUUGUGCUCAGUGCUGCAAAGAGUCACGUCAGUCUGUCGACUUGUGUAGUGAGCAAGCUGGUAGCUUCAGAUGGUAUGCACAUGAAAUCCCGUCCUGGCAUCCAGGACUUGGCUGGGGGUUGCAGAGAGAACCACAUCUGCAAAAGAGUUGGUAUUUUACAGUCCCAGCCUCACGUCCUUGUGAAAUGCCCUGUUCAUACUGGGCUACAGGGGCGGGAGCAAAAAUGAUACAAUGACAAUUCCUGGGCUGUGUUCUGCAAUAUUCUACAACACUUCCACAAGAAAACUCCAAUCUUUAAAAAUAGACUGAGCACAAUUAAACAAUCACUAUAGAUAUUUCUUUUCUUUUUUUUUUUUUUGAGAUGGAGUCUCAC
rnacentral:lncRNA from 1 species